rnacentral:tRNA from 1 species
UUCUAAUAGAAAGACUUUCACUUUCAUACUCAGAGCUUAAGUCUGAUGCACUUUUCUGCCAUGUUAGA